GAUGAACGCUGGCGGCGUGCCUAAUACAUGCAAGUCGAGCGAACGGACGAGAAGCUUGCUUCUCUGAUGUUAGCGGCGGACGGGUGAGUAACACGUGGAUAACCUACCUAUAAGACUGGGAUAACUUCGGGAAACCGGAGCUAAUACCGGCUAAUAUUUUGAACCGCAUGGUUCAAAAGUGAAAGACGGUUUUGCUGUCACUUAUAGAUGGAUCCGCGCUGCAUUAGCUAGUUGGUAAGGUAACGGCUUACCAAGGCAACGAUGCAUAGCCGACCUGAGAGGGUGAUCGGCCCAACUGGAACUGAGACACGGUCCAGACUCCUACGGGAAGCAGCAGUAGGGAAUCUUCCGCAAUGGGCGAAAGCCUGACGGAGCAACGCCGCGUGAGUGAUGGAGGUCUUCGGAUCGUAAAACUCUGUUAUUAGGGAAGAACAUAUGUGUAAGUAACUGUGCACAUCUUGACGGUACCUAAUCAGAAAGCCACGGCUAACUACGUG
rnacentral:rRNA from 1 species